GAUGAACGCUGGCGGCGUGCCUAAUACAUGCAAGUCGAGCGAACGGACGAGAAGCUUGCUUCUCUGAUGUUGGCGGCGGACGGGUGAGUAACACGUGGAUAACCUACCUAUAAGACUGGGAUAACUUCGGGAAACCGGAGCUAAUACCGGAUAAUAUUUUGAACCGCACGGUUCAAAAGUGAAAGACGGUCUUGCUGUCACUUAUAGAUGGAUCCGCGCUGCAUUAGCUAGUUGGUAAGGUAACGGCUUACCAAGGCAACGAUGCAUAGCCGACCUGAGAGGGUGUCGCGCCACCGUGACACAGGCACCGGGCCCAGACCCAUACGGGGGGCACAGGUGGGGACUUUUCCGCAGAGGGCGAAGGCCGGAGGGAGCAACGCCGCGGGAGGUAGAAGGGUUUUCGUAUCUUAAAACUCUUUUAUUGGGGAAAAAAAUAUGUGAAAGUACGUCUGCACCUCUGGAGGUUCCAUAAUAAGAAAGCCCGGCCAAACUACGUC
rnacentral:rRNA from 1 species